GGAAAACUUAAAAUAAUUUUAAGCAUAAAACUAUUACAUUAUUCAAAAUUUAUGAUCUUCAACGUAUUCAAGAAUGAUGCAACACUUUAAUUUUUAAAAAUGUCAAUAAUUAUAAUACAAAGAAAAACAUCUGCUUAAUCUUAAGAUACAUAUUAAUUUGUCAAAAAUGUGUAUGGGGGGACAUAGUUUUAAAAAAUUGGGGAGGACGGUGGGUAACAAUAUUUUGAAGCCUAAGGGCCCAACUUGGCUAACGACUAAGCUCUGUUAAAUCUUCAGUUUUUAUCUUGUGUCUAUUGGAAACAGCCUCCAAAUCCAAAGAGGGCCACUCAGACCAGAUAUUACAACACGGCCUCCCUCGAAUUCUUGGGUUUUCCUAGAUAUUCAGCAGGGUCAUGGAGGCUAGCGUUAUCGUCUUUGUCCUCAAAAUAGAAAUCCGAGAAACCUCCAAGUGGCCCGAAAAUUUAGAGCACUCGCUCGUGGAUACCAUUGUCACUCCAGAAAUGGUCUGAAUUCCUCUUUCCUCUCGAAAUUUAUUUGCUGGGCACCAAACUAGAGCCGGACACCAAACUAGAGCUGAGCCAGACUUAAUUCCUGGGAAAUCGUCCAGGAAAAAGAGCUGCCUGUUCGGGAUCGUUGCUAGGGCUCUAGGACGCAGACUUGUCUAUUUCAACACAUGCAUACCUGAACCAGCUCAACCCUGUUUGCAUCGCCAGUGUGUUCCCUGUCUGAAAAGAACUGGGUGCUGACCUUGUUGAACUUGAGCACCCUUAGGCUGCCCGAGGCGCAGCGAAUGUGUACCAGGAACCGUAGCCGCGCCCGGACAGGAAGAGGCGCCGAAGCCCGGCUGAGUGGAAGUCCUUAGUCUUCCAACAGCCAUAGCGGCGGGAACUGGGAGAGAAAAGGUAUGCACAAAGUCCUUUGUUGGAGAACGGAGACCUCCGAGCUGUUAUUAAAGGACAGCUUUCUCCACCAUCUUCCCAUUCCACCACCAAUGAGGAGGUAAAUUGAUUUCUGUUGAAAAUAUUGUUUUUUGGGGGGAAGACGUUGAGACUCCUGAUGACAUUUGCCUGCCGCCUAGAGGAUCCUCGUGCUCCACUUCGAAGAAUUGAAGUCUUGAUAAUCAGCAGAAAUGACCUCUGCACACCUUUUCCCCAUUCAUUGAACUAUUGAGCAGCUUACCAUGCUGUGCGGGCACCCGAGGUACCAGGAGAAUGAAGAGCAAGACAGCACAAAGAGUAACACAAGCAGUUAAUUAUAAUAACGCGUAGUGGAGCAACAGACAUACCACCGGGCGUUUUGAGGGGGCCAGAGAGAAGGAGUAACUCUCCAGUCCUUAUGAACCCGCGAGGCAUAGCUGCCGGAGAUUUUCUUCCUUCCAUUAUGGAGCGGAUUCCUCAUGCCGCGAUCCAAAUCCACCAGCCAUUCCGCGUGAUCACCAGGUCUCAGAAUGGCUCUGAAGACAGAGUAGGCAUUCGGUAAAUAUUUGUGGAGUGACUGUUGAAGACUCGCCAUUAGAGUGUGUUUUCAAACAUUGGGAUUUUGUUUGCCCAGUCUGACUGAUAAACAUAUAUAAAGGAGCAAAAGCCUGCCAAGGUCUACAUUUACAGCAAAACAAAGUGGUUGUAAAGAUUAUAUCAUUUUAUAGAAUACACAGAAUUACAGAUGUGAAAAAUAAAUGGUAAAAAUAAUCCCAGCAAGAAACGAAACUUAGACAUUUCAGAUCUGACAAAGGGUCAUUUUCAAAGGAUGACGAAACCACCGCUCAAUACUUUAAAAAGACAAAAUCAAAGCUCAUUCGAGGGAGAGCUAUAUUGUAAAACACAGUCCCUGAAAACAGAACAGAUGGCUGAUCUUUUUUUCAUUAGGUUGAUAUAAUCUAUGGGAGCAUGGUUACUUGUCAGAGACUGCCAUUGUUUGGUCGGCACUCAUAGGUAUGUUUAUUGGAGUGAGUCCAUCCCUGAUCAGCUCACUUUCCGAAGCCAGGAGCAGACACUGAUUGGUUUUCAAAAGUGUGUUCACAGAAGCGAUUGUUACUGACAGAUUGAACUGAUUGAAAACCAGUUCUGGGCCGGACGCGGUGGCUCACGCCUGUAAUCCCAGCACUUUGGAAGGCCGAGGUGGGCGGAUCACCUGAGGUAGGGAGUUCAAGACCAGCCUGACCAACAUGGAGAAACCUCGCCUCUACUAAAAAUACAAAAUAGCC
rnacentral:lncRNA from 1 species